rnacentral:rRNA from 1 species
GUCGUCGUCGCGUAGUCUCGAGACGUUGUUGUCCUGGCUCAGGACGAACGCUGGCGGCGUGCUUAACACAUGCAAGUCGACGAAAGGCCCUGCUUUUGUGGGGUGCUCGAGUGGCGAACGGGUGAGUACACGUGAGUAACCUGCCCUUGACUUUGGGAUAACUUCAGGAAACUGGGGCUAAUACCGGAUAGGAGCUCCUGCUGCAUGGUGGGGGUUGGAAAGUUUCGGCGGUUGGGGAUGGACUCGCGGCUUAUCAGCUUGUUGGUGGGGUAGUGGCUUACCAAGGCUUUGACGGGUAGCCGGCCUGAGAGGGUGACCGGCUACAUUGGGACUGAGAUACGGCCCAGACUCCUACGGGAGGCAGCAGUGGGGAAUAUUGCACAAUGGGCGGAAGCCUGAUGCAGCAACGCCGCGUGCGGGAUGACGGCCUUCGGGUUGUAAACCGCUUUCGCCUGUGACGAAGCGUGAGUGACGGUAAUGGGUAAAGAAGCACCGGCUAACUACGUG